GUUAUGGGGCAAUGUGGGGCACUAUGGGGUGUGUUAGGGCAGUUAUGGGGUGCUGCGGGGCGCUAUGGGGCAGGUUAGGGCAGUUAUGGGGCGAUGGGGGAAGCUGUGGGGCAGUUGUGGGGCGCUAUGGGGCAGAGCAGUGAUCCCCUCCUGCCCCACAGCGAGCGAUCGGGGCCUGGUUGCGGCGCGGCUUCGAUGGAGUCUUCCUGGACGGCAUCGAGGAGCUGAAGGUGUGGGGCUGACUUGUGGGGCGCUAUGGGGCGGGGCUGUGGGGCUGCGCUUUUAGGGCGCUAUGGGGUGGGGCUGUGGAGCGCUAUGGGGCUGUGCUGUGGGGCGUUAUGGGGCGGUGCUGUGGGGCUCUCUGGGGCGUUAUGGGGCGGUGCUGUGGGGCGCUAUGGGGCAGUGCCUUGGGGCGGUGCUGUGGGGCGCUAUGGGGCAGUGCCUUGGGGCUGUGCUGUGGGGCGCUAUGGGGCGGUGCUGUGGGGCGCAGUGGGGCGCUAUGGGGCCACGCCACGGGGCUGUGCUG
rnacentral:lncRNA from 1 species